UUGUUAAUUAAGUCUAUAAGAUUACCAUCAGAAGCAUACUCCAGUAAUAAGUUAUAAAUUAUCAUAACAUUUUCAUGACUCAAACAGUCCCUGUAGCAUUCAAUAACUCUUUCAGAUCUAAAAAGACUAAGCAAAGUUCUCAAUUCUUUUUGCAGGGAGAGAGAAUUUACUAUGAGGGCAGACUUCACAGCAGGUAGUGGCAAAAUAAUGUUGGCUGGUAUGGCCAAAUAGACAAAGCUGUAUGAUCCCUUACUAUGAGGGCAGACUUCACAGCAGGUAGUGGCAAAAUAAUGUUGGCUGGUAUGGCCAAAAAGACAAAGCUGUAUGAUCCCUUCCCUAAACACUUCCAGCGAACCUAGUCCAUAAUGACCGAUACAUUGGAUGAGUGAGAAUAGCAGAGUGGAAUAGGUCAAUAAAGUAUAUAUAAGUAGUAUUUAUCAUCCUUUUCCUAUCAGGAUUAAGUACAUAUAAUCCUUUUCCUUUUGGGAUUUACUUAAAAAUUCACAGAGGCGUUUUUCUAAACUGCCCUUUGAGAGUUGGUGUUUGAUUGAACAUCGUUCUUUUUUUGCGUUUCAUAAAUUCGCUGCUAACUGAGGCAAUUACAAGCGCAUAACUAUUCAAUGCCAAUCGUUUGGGGUUAGGGUUUGCAAAUCUAUUUCAUGAAUUUCAAAAACUCCCAAUUUUAUCCAAAAUUUCCAAAGGAAAUGGCGCUGAGGAAGUUCUACGGCGAGAUAAAGGGGUUGACAGUGAAGGAAGUGCCCAACUAGGUAAAGCCGAUGCUAUCAAUCGAUUACGUGAAGAAAUAGGUGCAGAAAGCUUUGGACAAUUACCACGCCAAUUACAUCAAGACCAGCUCCAUUGAUCCUCUCUACCAUGAUGGCGGCAUGAUCUUUUCCAACCUUGUUGCUCUUCUGGAGGAGCACCGCCACUUCGAGCACCAGCAACACUAAGGAGCAUGGCCACUGAUUCGUUGACUCAUCAAUUCAUCAUUUGUCAGUAACUUCCUGUGAGUUGAUUUUACUAACGUUGAUUUUCUUGAUGUUCUAUUUUGUGUCUCUGGAUAUGGUCGGCAGGAAGAUACUAUUGAUAGUUUUCUCUUUUACACUCUGCAUCUCAUUGCUUCAAGAAAUUUGAAUCAUAUACAGCAGAACAAAAUGAUUGUAGGUCAUUCUCUGGUGUCUUUGAUCCACAGUGAGUUUUAUUAGAGAUAUCUUUUGCCUGCCAUUGUAUGAUGUCUUUGGUCUUACAAUUUACAAUAUCUCUUCUACAUGUAGCUUGGAGCUUGGGUGCAUCAGGUGUUAGAACAGCAGAUGCCCUCAUCUGAUAUUCCAUCCAAAAUUCUUUGUCAAGUGAUCAAAAUUGAUCUUCAGCAAAGAGAGUUUACUGGCAGCAAUCCUGAACUCCUGAACCCUGCAGAAAGAUGCACAGUGAAUUCAUUUUAGAAAGCACUUACUCCUUCGGAUGUAAGCAAGCAUUGUACUUUAAAUAUUUAUCAAAAGCAUGCAUAGGAAUGUCAACCAGCAUUGGAUAUGCAGCGACAGACACCUUGUCAACAAUUGAUUCCAAAAGAUCUGCAUGGCAAUGAGUGGCAUUUCCAACAUGUUAAUCAGACUUGGAGCUUUGGCGCAUCAGGAGUUAGAACAGCACAUGCCCUCAUCAGAUAUCCCAUCCAAAAUUCUUUGUAAAGUGAUCAAAAUUGAUCUUCAGCAAAGAGAGGUUUCUGGCUCCAAUCCCGAACUCCUGAAACCUGCAGAAAGAUGCACGGUGAAUUCAUUUUAGAAAACACUUACUGCUUCUGAUUUAAGCAAGCAUGGUACUUCAAAUAUUUAUCAAAAGCAUGCAUAGGAAUGUCUACCAGCAUUGGAUAUGCAGCAACAGCCACCUUGUCAACAAUUUAUUGCAAAAGAUCUGCAUGGCAACGAGUGGCAUUUCCAACAUGUUAAUCAGACAUUUGCAUAAGAAGUUUCAGCUGCAUUGGCUUUGCCCUUCAUGAUCUUCAUUACCUCCUGUUGAACAAGAUUAGGCAAACUAGCAGCCGAUUCAUCAUACUUGCUUGGAGCCUCAACCUCCAAAGGAGUAUCAGCAUCAUGAGAAACAACAUUAGCCUGCAACGUUCCUUUCUUCUGUUUGAAAUCUUUAUACCAUUCUGGAUAGCCAAAGAGCUUGAAACAAGAUUCUCUAACAUGGCCCCCAACAUUACAAAAGCAAAGAGAGGUUACUGCUACCAAUCCUGAACUCCUGAAACCUGCAGAAAGAUGCACGGUGAAUUCAUUUUAGAAAACACUUACUGCUUCGGAUGGAAGAAAGCAUGGUACUUUAAAUAUUUAUCAAAAGCAUGCAUAGGAAUGUCUACCAGCGCUGGUCAAUAUCUAAAAUAAGUUGAUGUUUGCAUCCCUGCUGUAUAUUGCGUGUGAUUACUUCUCUGUGGUUGAUGGUUAUGAUUUUCCUCUUUGUUCAGGGUAUGCAACGACAGGCGCUUUGUCAACAAUUGAUUGCAAAAGAUCUGCAUGGCGGAGAGUGGCAUUUCCAACAUCUUAAUCAGAGCAAGCAAUAUAACACAUUGCUAUUUCAUGAUGCGAUGCUGAAUAAUUGUCUAGGGAUGGCAAUUAAUUAACUACAUUAGCUGAAAUAUGCUUUAUAUUAUUUUGUUCUGCUGCAUAUGAUUGUUAAUUGGGAAUUUAUGGAAUUGGUGACAUUUUUGUUUUUUUGUUAUAUCUAUGCAUUUGUCGGACGAGUGAAAACAGUACAGUAUAUAAAAUCCUUGGAUAAAUUAGUACAGUA